rnacentral:lncRNA from 1 species
CAUUUUGCUCUUUAUUGAUAAUGUGUGUUCUUAUUUUGAAUAUUUAUCAUUAAACAUUGUAAUAACACAAAUCUGUGUGAAUUUUUGUGUGUCCAAGCUUCCUUCUUUAGUACCAAGUGGUCGCUUCCACUUUACUCGUCCAUUUCUUGUGGAUUUCAGUUUCUAAUUCCGGAUGGGCUUGAAAAUCAGAACACUAUUCAGCUUAAGCUUUGAGUGAUACAGUAGUUUAUAAAUUCCUAAACGUGGUUCCAACAAGUGUAUUAUGUAGCUUUAGCUCAUACUAAAGCUGUAAAGUAUUUCAGAUACCUAGUCCAUGAAUUUUCUAAUAAUUUAGGGGAGGUUCCCAAACUGAGGUAGUAUUAAAAUAUUGAGGAAAUCAAAAAUAAUAUUUGAGUCAUUAAAAUCAAAGUAAUGAGCAAUCAGAGAGAUGAUUUAAGUCAUUUUAGGGAAAAGUUUCCCUUAUUACAGAGGAGCAUGGUAAAUCAAUGCAUGAGAGACUAAAUAAUUAUUUUAGAUGUGUUGUGCAAUGUCCAGCAGAAUUUAAAUCACAGAAAGGUUUACAUUUGAACAGUGAAAGAUACCUGCAGUAUUCAUAGAUACCUGCGAAUAGUUAGGCAAAUAUGUUUUCAAAUAAAAUACAAAGUUUACACUUGUUUUGCCUAACACGGUUGUACAGGCCAAUGAUUAAAUGCACCAACUUUGGAAUCAAGAUUUCCUGGAUUCAAAUUCAAGCUCCACCAUUGGCAAAUUAUUUAACCUACAUGUGCCUCAGUUCCCUCAUCUAUAUGUGGAGGCAAUAGUUACACUCUCUUAUAAUGUUUUUGUUAGCAUUGUCAGAAGAUAGCUCAUGUGGAGCAUUUUAGAAGAAUACUUAUGUUUAACAGCCAACAGGUUUGCUUAUUAAACUGUAGAGAAAAAUUAAAAAGAAAAAUCAAGAAGUUCUUCACUAGUUUAAUUUUUCUACAAAUGAUAAAAUGUUUCUGAUUAUAUAUGCUAUGAAUUUGUUUAAUGUCUUGUUGAGGCAUCUGAAGUGUGUGUGCAUGUAAAUAUUGGCACAUUUCUGAACACAAUUUACACCGAGCCAAAGAGAGUCACUAAUAUUUGUUAAAUUGCUUUUCUAAAGUGGGAAAAGUAGCAUCUUUUCCAAAGGGUGCUUUAUUCACACUAACUAAUUAAGUGAAUGAGCUUUCUGGUUUUAAUUAAGUGGAGUGUUUGUAUAUGUAUAUGCUUGUUUAUAUACUCAGCAGCAAUAAGGGUGAGAUUUUAAUAUAGAAAGGAAGAAAUAGCCACUAAGAAAGUUCAAGCCCAUUCAAGUAAAAAUCCUAACCUGAUAGUUUUAGGCAAUGCAAAGUUAAUGGACUGGUUUGAAUUCCAUAAAGUGGUACUUUUUUAUCAUCUGAAAUGGCUCAUGGAUCUCAUAUGAACAUACCUAAUAUUUCUGGAGCAUUAACUCUUCAGAGGUAUAAUCACACUGUGUAUCAAUAAAGAUAAAAUACGUGAUAAGUGAAAUUUUGCUUUCUGGCUGCUUUGGGAUUAUGUGGCUAAUGACCAUCAGGCAGACACUCAGGCAAUUACAAUGGGGAGAUUUCUUAGCUCUGAAAGCACAGGCAAGAUUCCAAAAUGUGCAAAACAAGCAGAGCAUAGAGUAGGGGCAAAGGUGAUAUAUUCAUGGAUGAGUGCAAGUUUUGGUUUUCAGGAGUUCAAGGAGCAAGUCUGUUCAGAAUAUUGUUAUAAAGCAGAUAGAGGACAAAAGCAUAAUUGAAAUAACCGGAAUGUACAUAGGCUAACUGCAUUGCUUUAUGUGGUGUGGUUCUGUGGAAAGAUUAUUAGACUUACAAGAGUGAGGACUCACAGUUCUGCCAGCAAAUAAGCUGAGUGGCUUCAGACAAGCCACUUUACUUAUCUCUGGGCCUCAGUUUUCCCGUUUAUGGAUUAAAGACAUUCACAGACAUUGGCUGAGUGCCCGCAAUGUGCCAGCUAUUGAGCUAAACUUGGGAUGCUAGAAAAGACAAUCCCUUUUCUGGAUUAGGAAGUUUACAUUUUAAAGAUGCAAGAAGGCACUAAACAAGGGCAGUGAGGUACAACAAGCUCUGUGGUUUUAUUUCUCCUAAAUGGGAGGAAACAUAGAGAGGAAGAAAAGUAUGCAAUCUCAGUUGCAAAUGGAGGCAGGGGCUCACCAUGUUCUCUGAUACGAUUGUACCGCCCAUUGGUAAGAAUCAGAGGCUGAAAAGAUUCUGUUACUGAAACUCAACACUUAGUUGAUACCUGCUACAACUUUAACUACUCGUUGACUGUUUACGGCUUUUGCUGUAAGUUGGAGUAUGGUGACAAACACACAACAGGAGUCUAAAAACUCAAACGUAUCUAAAAGCCAUGACACAGAAGGCCUGGAGACUGCAUGGAAUGAUGAGGACUGCAGUGAACUCUGAAGUGCCUACCCAUGUGAAACGAACAAGUGCUAUUCGGAAGAAGCAGGUUGUGUUAAUCUGAGGCCUUUGAGAUACUAUAUGAACUGCUCCAACAUUCUGAAGAGAAGGUCUGGAUCAUUUAAGUAGGACUUGCAAAGAAAGUGGCCUAGAUCCUUAGCUGAGCUGAUCACUUACCUCAAACCUAUAAAGAAGUGGAGGGGCCAAGAAUAGGUGUUGGAUAUCAGCGGGAGAGUUUCAUCAAAGAGCUGUCAGUUUCAUCUCAACCUUACCCUCCAGGAGAGGUGAAGACUAAAGCACCAACUGAGGAGAAAAGAUUUUCAGUGUCAGUGAAGUUAAAACAUGUCAGCGGCAGUUGCUUCUGUGAAUAUUGUCUCACAUGAAAGGAAGGAUGGAUUGAAUUCAUAUCUGAAACAAGACAAGAUUUUCCAUCUGACCUCAUUAUGUGUUUCUCUGGAGUGCAUCCCUGGGUUUCUGCCUGAACUGAAAUGUGUUGUGGGGAAACCAAAUAUAAAACAGCUCAGUACUGCCAUAACUGACGUGUCUUAAUAAGAUGGGGUAUUUAUUGUUUUGCCACAGUCCUCUCUUAACUCUAAAAGUCAUUAUGAUGUGCUAGAUCCCUUUGUUAAAGCAAUUCCCAUAAGUGAAGGCAUGUACUAAUGAAAAGGUUUAUGCUACAUGGCUGGAAACAAGGAUGAAGUAGCAUUACUGUGUAUAACAGAGAUUCAUAUUGAGAAAUAUUUAUGGAAAGAUUUUUAGAGACUUGACUGUUGUAUUCUUAUAAAUAAUUAAAUGUACAAAUCAUCAUUGUUACAAUACAGCCAGUUUCCUUUUCUGUGAGCACUGGUGAUCGAUUCAAAAAUAUAUUGAUUUAAGGAAAUUUAUAGCAUUUUUCAUUGCUCCUAGUAAUACUAGAAAAUUUUUCACAGGUCAGAAAUAAUAGAAAACUUUCCCCUAGAUUAACCUUGUGCCACACAGACAGAUUUUCUUUAUUCUAAUGUAUCAUAAGGAAAGGCAUAAUGUCUUUCAGUUUUAUUUGUACAAUGGCUUAUAUGUCUUUAUGAGCAUAUAUAUUUGCAUCUAUCAUACUAAUUGAUAAAGAAAUAUGUCAUUGUCUGCAUUACUAUAUGUGUAUAAAUGUUUUUAUAUAUGUACAUACACACACUAUGAUUCUAUUUUUCAAAAUAUAGUGAAGGUAAGGAAAAUAUUAGUUAGAACUCCAACACCUACCACCACUAAAAUAUGUUUUAAUAACCUUUGAGCUAUUCUGUAAACUAAAUUACCAUUAUACCUAAGAAUAAAUCAAUGGCAAUAUACUAUUCAAAAAGUUAAUCGCAUAGAUCUCUGUAUGUAUACAUGUAAAUUUAUAUAUAAUGUAGAUAUAGUGAGAUGCAUUAUUUUGUUGAAAUUAGUGUCACUCUUCUGUGUUUAUUUAUACUAAAUAAUUUGAAAAACAUUUUAGAUUUUUAGUUGCUAUAGUAACACACCAUUAGACCAUUUUUCCAAUGUUGUAUAUUUUAUAAAACAGUAAGUACGAAACUAUAGAUGUGAUAAAUAAGCUAACAUAGACAAGUUUUCAGGUUUCAACACAAUCCUUUGGUUGAUAUGUUCAGCAUGGACUCUAAACAUUUCUGGCACACAAUGAACCUUUUAAAUUUGCCACCUGAGGAGAACUAUUCUUUUGGAAAUUGAAAUGCUGUGUAAUCUGUGACACUUUUACUUUAUAAAAAAUAACUUUUUUAUUCAAAUAGCAAAGAAUUAUGAAAUAUGUACUGCAUUCUUAGCAUUUUGCCUAAAGCUAGGGAUGCAGAGAUUACGGGGAGGUCCCUACAUUCAAGAGGCCACCUAUCAACUACAGAGCUCACUUCCUAAUAUUAAACUGUUGUGAGCAACCAAAUUAAAAAUGUACAUACAUGAUAGUUCACCUUCUAAGAAGUGGAGCUUAAUGUUACCUCCUUUGAAGUAUGAGUAAUUCCCAAAUAAUAGGGUAGGGAAAGGAGUUUUUUAUUAGUAGGGAAACCUGAUAAACCUACAUUUACCAAGUGAUGAAGGUUAAUCUUAUCAGUCAUGUUAAUGUAAAUAUCAUUUUCUGCCGCUAUAAUGUGAUGAGAAGAAAUUUUCACCUCUCUGGUAUUCUUUCCAAAAAUUUAUAUCCUGACUAAUCUGAGAAAAAAAAAAUUAGACCAACCCAGAUUGGGUGACGAUUCUACAGGAUACCUAGCCAGUAAUCCUCAAGACUGUCAAGGUUAUAAAAAACAAAGAAAGCCUAAGAAUCUUUCACAGGCCAUUGGAGCUUGGGAAGCCAAGAUAACCCAGUGCAAGGUAGUACCCCAAAUUAGACAUGGAACAUAAAGAGAACAUUAAGGACUAACUGGUGAAAUGCAAACAAAGUCUGGAGUUCAGUUGAAAAAUAAAACAAUUUAUAUAUAACUUUAAAGUCUAACAAUUAGGUCUGUUACAUUAGAAAAGAUAAACUGUAGUUUUAUCAAACAGCAGAUCAACUAAAAACUAUCCAGUUGUCAAGAAUGAAGGAAAUUUAGCACUCCAAUAGCCAGGCUAAUGUCACAUAAGUAUUGUGUCACAGAUCACAACAUGUGAACCUACAAUUAAGGAUCUUGAAACAUCUUUGGCCAGUGGUUUGCAAACUCUUUUUCGCAGAGCACUAGGAGCGUCUCAGACAGCAGUAUGGAUGAGUGAGAAGACAUGACAUUAGCCAUGCACCUAUCCCCAAUUUAACAUAAUAUUUUAUUUCACAAGAAGAAUCCAUGGCUUAGAAAAAAUACAAGAAAAUCAGUAUGAAAAAAUCAGUAACCUAGAGAGGUGCUUAUUAAACGUCAACGGGUAUACACAUCACAGAAGAUCUUUAAAGGCCAAUAUUGAUUCAGUAGUUCUGGGGUGGAGCCUGAAAUUCUGCAUUUAUGAUGAGUAAUGUCUACCCUAGGAGAUGAAGAUGUUGCUCGUCAGAGAAAAACACUGUAAGUAGGAAGGAUCUAGCUCAAAUGUUAAACUCUUCUCAUGUCAGUACGUUUCAUAGAGGAAAGUUUGCUGUUAUGUUUAAUGGGUUUUAUGACUUCAAUAGCAACACAUCAAAAUCCUUCUCAGUUAGUGAGUUGGAAAAAAUUAUGAAAACUGAGUUUUUUAAACUACACUUCUAUCCAUACCUCAUCCUUCAGUCCCCUUAAUCUAACUCGUAUUUAUUAUAACAACCUCCAGAACCAGACCUUACUCAGCCACGUCCUCUAUCUAGACUAUCCUCUCAUCAUGUCAUUCUAUAACCAGCCAUUUCAUCAAUGAAUUUGGACCCAACUGAGAUGUUCUUCUACCAAUUAUACUUUAUCAUACUCCAUGUCAAGCCGAGCAUCAGGUAGUAUGCACUAUCAAUUACAUCUUUCCAGGAAAAGGGAAGAAAAUUGAUGUUUUGGUUUUGUAAAAACCUAUGCUUUUGUAUUUCAUCUGGGCUCUUACCUGCCUACUCACAUUUUAAAAAUGUACUUCAUAUUGACCCUUAGUACAUUUUCCACAGGAUUGUUCCAAGCUUUCUGCUCUCUCAGAGGUCAUAUUUUAUUCCAAAACAUUUAUCACUUGAUCUUAUUUUCUGCUUCUCAAGAUUGAGAUUCUGGAACUCAAAAUAUCUUUCCCCCAUCCUGAUAUUGCCUCAAACUACUGCACAUCACAAGUAAGAUAGCUGCUUUUAGAAGUAUUUGGGAGCUUCUUCAAUUUCAGAUUGUUCUCAUAGGUUUUCUGAGCUUCUAACUAAUUAUUUGUAUCUCCCUUGCUACCUUUAAAAAAAGUUACUGUAAAAGUAAUUUGUAAACUUGUGUUUGAAAUCAGAGGUCUAACUCUCUGGUUUUAAGUCUUAGUGCUACUAUUUUCUAGCUUUAUGAUUUUGAGCAAGUUUGCUUCACUUUAUGAGCUCUAAUAUUUUUAUCUCAAAAACAAUGAUAAUAAUGACCAUUAUGUCACAUUUCUGCUUUAUGAACUGAAUGAGAUAAUAUAUGCAAAAUGUCUAGACCUGUGCCUGUCAGUAAUGUUAGAUAAAUUGUCAGUUAUUACUAUUACAUAUCUGCAGUCAUUCUUUUGGAUAGCUUGUCUGAUCUCAUUUUAUCUUUAUAUAAUCUUUACCUGUAUUUCCAACCCAGUUUCUUGAUAUCACAUUAUCUUGCUUUAUAACUCAGUUUCUAGAUGACAACUGGAACCGGAUAAUUCUUUGUUGUGGGGAGCUGUCCUGUGCAUUGUGAAAUGUUUGGCAAUAUUUCUAGCCUUUAUCCCCCAGAUGCCAGUAGCAACCCCCAGUUGCGACAAUGAAAACUGUCUCCAAAUAUCACCUAAUGUCCUCUGAGGUCCAAAAGCACCCCUGGUUGAGAACCAUCCUUCUAAUCUUUUUUAAGGAUAUGCUUAUAUGGAUGCCUCUUUGAUGCCUCAACAUAUGGGCAAAGGUAAAUGUAUCAUAUUCUCAAUAAAUACGUUUUGUAUACUGUUUUA